AACCUGCAGCCAUUUCGCUUGGUCCCUUCCACGCAAAGCAAAUCAAUAGUAUUACAGCACAAGAAAUUAAGGAAGGCAGUGCAGAUUGUUCCGAAGCUCAUGAUGAGCCGUCACCGGAGAAGCAUCUUCUUCCUCGUCAUUCCGAGCGCUAUCGUUCUCUGCCUUUUACUUUCGGGCCUUUCGCCGGUCUAUGCUGUUGAUCAAGCGUGUCCCGUCUGUGUCGAUCCUUAUGGACCUCCAACAACCUUCACUCCUGUGCCCGAUCCCCAACCUCCAGAUCCGCCGAGCACAAGGCCAUAUUGGGCCCCUCCUCGACAGCAGAAGCCAUGAACCGGAGAACGGUCGAUCGAUACGCAAUUGCCAGAAUGAACCAAUUGAUUUACCAUCUCCGCCGCGGACAGCCGCCCUAUAUAGCUUCUUCCGCUUCUUACUUUCCUCCCUUUCUCAAUCAUAUAUAUAUAUAUAUAUAUUUUGUGUGUGAUAGAUAAUUCAAUUAAUAAAAACUUCUUGCUUCUUCUUCUUUCUUA